rnacentral:rRNA from 1 species
UGGGGAAUUUUGCACAAUGGGGGAAACCCUGAUGCAGCGACGCCGCGUGAUUUAGAAGGCCUUCGGGUUGUAAAAAUCUUUUCUAUGGGAAGAAAAUGACAGCACCAUAGGAAUAAGGACCGGCUAAUUACGUGCCAGCAGCCGCGGUAAUACGUAAGGUCCGAGCGUUGUCCGGAAUCAUUGGGCGUAAAGGGUACGUAGUCGGGUAAGCAAGUUAGAAGUGAAAUGCUGUAGCUCAACUACAGUAAGCUUUUAAAACUGCUCAUCUUGAGAUAUGGAAGGGAAAGUGGAAUUCCUAGUGUAGCGGUGAAAUGCGCAGAUAUUAGGAGAAAUACCGGUGGCGUAGGCGAUUUUCAAGCCAUAAUCUGACGCUGAGGUACAAAAGCGUGGGUAGCAAACAGG